CGGUACCAUACGAAUAAGCAUCAGCUAACUCCGUGCCAGCAGCCGCGGUAAUACGGAGGAUGCAAGCGUUAUCCGGAUUCAUUGGGUAUCGUGGGUGCGCAUGCGGAAUAUUAAGUCAGUGGUGAAAUCCUGCAUCUUAACUGUAGAACUGCCAUUGAUACUGAUAUUCUUGAAUAUAGUAGAGGUGGGCGGAAUGUGUAAUGUAACGGUGAAAUGCUUAGAUAUUACACAGAACACCAAUUGCGAAGGCAGCUCACUAAACUAAUAUUGACGCUGAGGCACGAACGCGUGGGUAGCAAACAGGAUUAGAUACCCUGGUAGUCCACGCUGUAAAUUAUGAUCACUCGCUGUUGGCAAUACAUCGUCAGCGCCUGAGCGAAAGCAUUCAGUGAUGCCACCUGGGGAGUACGGUCGCAAGAUUGAAACUCAAAGGAAUUGACGGGGGCCCGCACAAACGGAGGAACAUGUGAUGCAAUUCGAUGAUACGCGAGGAACCUUACCUGGGCGUAAAUGCAGAGCGACGUGCCACCGUAUAGGUGGAUUCAUUCGGACGAUCUGCAAGUUGCUGUAUGCUUGUCGUCAGCUCAUGCCGUGAGUUAUCGGCUUAAGUCCCAUCACGAGCGCAACCCUUAUCGUUACUUGCCAGCGGGUAAUUCCGGGGACUCUAACGAGACUGCCGGUGUAAACCGUGAGGAAGAUGGG
rnacentral:rRNA from 1 species